GUCCCGCCAAACGAUGCGCACUAAAUGCAGCAACCAGCCUCCGCGAAGUAAUACCUAACGGUGGUCCCGCGGAGGAGAGUGGUAGAAGAAGUGUGUGUGGGGGGUAGGUUUAGUACGUAUGCGCCAUGGAUGGCGAAUCGUGCAUGCUACUGGUACGGGCCAGUAGUAUCUAUGAAGAUUCCUAACUCCUACUCGC
rfam:Glossina brevipalpis unplaced genomic scaffold Scaffold206, whole genome shotgun sequence.